GAAAUUGUAAUUCCGGUGAAGAUGCCGGAUACCUGCGACAGGACGGAAAGACCCCAUGGAGCUUUACUGUAGCUUGACAUUGGGUCUUGGUACUACAUGUACAGGAUAGGGGGGAGGCUUUGAAACCAGGACGCCAGUUUUGGCGGAGCCAUCCUUGGGAUACCACCCUUGUAGUACUGGGACUCUAACCAUAGGCCAUGAAUCUGGUCUUGGGACAC
rnacentral:rRNA from 1 species